rnacentral:pre_miRNA from 1 species
GUGAGAUGGAAUCAGUGUUUGGUACAUGCGAUUUACGUUGAUUCCAUCUCAUGA